rnacentral:tRNA from 1 species
GGAGAGGUGGCCGAGUGGUCGAAGGCGCUCCCCUGCUAAGGGAGUAUACGGGUGACCGUAUCGAGGGUUCGAAUCCCUCUCCCUCCGCCA